rnacentral:snRNA from 1 species
AGCUUUGCGCAGUGGCAGUAUCGUAGCCAAUGAGGUUUAUCCGAGGCGCGAUUAUUGCUAAUUGAAAAAAAAAAAAAAUUAAAGCAGCAGUAUAACAGCCAUCUGGCAAUGGUGAGGAGAUAGUUUGCUUCUAAAUGGCUGGUAACAGG